GACGAACGCUGGCGGCGUGCUUAACACAUGCAAGUCGAACGGUGAAGCACCUUCCUUUUGGUGGGUGUGGAUGAGUGGCGAACGGGUGAGUAACACGUGAGUAACCUGCCCCCUUCUUCUGGAUAACCGCAUGAAAGUGUGUCUAAUCCGGGAUAUUCUGUGCCUGCUGCAUGGUGGGUGUGGGAAAGAUGUGCUUUUGGGUUUUUUUGGUGUGGGAUGGGCUCGCGGGCUAUCAGCUUGUUGGUGGGGUGAUGGCCUACCAAGGAGGUGAAGGGUAGCCGAGAGGGGGGGGGGGCAGGUCAGAAGGGGAAUGAGACACAGACGAGAAAGGGAGGCGAGGGAGGAGUGGGGAAUGUAACAGGAGGGGGGCAAGCGGGAUGAAGCGACGCGGGGGGAGAGGUGGAGGGGUUCGGGUUGUAAACCUAUUACGGAAGAAAAGAAGGCCUGGCAAUUGUGGGUGGGUUGACGGUAGCUGGAUAAGAAGCGCCGGCUAACUACGUG
rnacentral:rRNA from 1 species